AUACGGAGGAUGCGAGCGUUAUCCGGAUUUAUUGGGUUUAAAGGGUGCGUAGGCUGUGCGUUAAGUCAGGGGUGAAAUGCCGUCGCUCAACGACGGAGCUGCCCUUGAUACUGGCGUGCUGGAGUACGGAUGCCGUUGGAGGAAUGAGUGGUGUAGCGGUGAAAUGCUUAGAUAUCACUCAGAACACCGAUUGCGAAGGCAUCUGACGAAUCCGUCACUGACGCGGAGGCACGAAAGCGUGGGGAUAGAACAGGAUUAGAUACCCUGGUAUUCCACGCCGUAAACGAUGAUGACUAACCGUCGGCGAUAGACAGCCGGUGGCCAAGCGAAAGCGAUAAGUCAUCCACCUGGGGAGUACGUCGGCAACGAUGAAACUCAAAUGAAUUGACGGGG
rnacentral:rRNA from 1 species